CUACCAAGGCGACGACGGGUAGCUGGUCUGAGAGGACGAUCAGCCACACUGGGACUGAGACACGGCCCAGACUCCUACGGGAGGCAGCAGUGGGGAAUCUUGCGCAAUGGGCGAAAGCCUGACGCAGCAACGCCGCGUGGGGGAUGAAUGCCUUCGGGUUGUAAACCCCUUUCAGUGGGAACGAAAUUGACGGUACCCACAGAAGAAGCCCCGGCCAACUACGUGCCAGCAGCCGCGGUGAUACGUAGGGGGCGAGCGUUGUCCGGAUUCAUUGGGCGUAAAGAGCUCGUAGGCGGCUUGGUAAGUCGGGUGUGAAACCUCCAGGCUCAACCUGGAGACGCCACUCGAGACUGCCCUGGCUGGAGUCCGGUAGGGGACCACGGAAUUCCUGGUGUAGCGGUGAAAUGCGCAGAUAUCAGGAGGAACACCAGUGGCGAAGGCGGUGGUCUGGGCCGGUACUGACGCUGAGGAGCGAAAGCGUGGGGAGCGAACAGGAUUAGAUACCCUGGUAGUCCACGCCGUAAACGUUGGGCACUAGGUGUGGGACGUUAUCAACGGGUUCCGUGCCGCA
rnacentral:rRNA from 1 species